rnacentral:rRNA from 1 species
UACGGGGGGAGCAAGCGUUGUUCGGAUUUACUGGGCGUAAAGGGCGCGUAGGCGGCGCAACAAGUCACUUGUGAAAUCUCCGGGCUUAACCCGGAGCGGCCAAGUGAUACUGUCGUGCUAGAGUGCGGAAGGGGCUACUGGAAUUCUCGGUGGAGCGGUGAAAUGCGUUGAGAUCCACAGGAACUCCGGUGGCGAAGGCGGCGUGCUGGACCCGUCCUGACGCUGAGGCGCGAAAGCCAGGGGAGCGAACGGG